rnacentral:rRNA from 1 species
GACGAACGCUGGCGGCGUGCUUAACACAUGCAAGUCGAACGAUGAAGAAGAGACACGCGCACUUCGGUUCAAAUUUCACUUCGGAUUAGUGGCAGACGGGUGAGUAACGCGUGAGCAACCUACCUCUUACAAAGGGAUAGCCUCGGGAAACCGUGAUUAAUACCAUAUGACACAUUCAUAAGGCAUCUUAAGAAUGUUAAAGCUACGGCGGUAAGAGAUGGGCUCGCGUCCCAUUAGCUAGUUGGUGAGGUAACGGCCCACCAAGGCGACGAUGGGUAACUGGCCUGAGAGGGUGAACGGUCACAUUGGAACUGAGACACGGUCCAAACUCCUACGGGAGGCAGCAGUGGGGAAUAUUGCACAAUGGAGGGAACUCUGAUGCAGCGACGCCGCGUGAGCGAUGAAGGAAUUCGUUUCGUAAAGCUCUGUUCUAUGGGAAGAAAAGGACUGUACCAUAGGAGAAAGCCCCGGCUAAAUACGUG